GCGGUUAUACAAAUUAUAUAAUUUAAUUAUYUUAAUUUUAAUUAAUUGUUAAAUAAAUUUUAAAUUAAUAUUUAUUUGGUGAAAUUUUAAAUUUUUAAUUGAAUUUUUGAAUUAUAUAAAYUAGUAAAUUUUAAAUAUAAACUAGGAUUAGAUACCCUAUUAUUUAAAGUGUAAUUAUAAAGAUUAAAUUAGUAUUAGUUAUGUUCUUGAAAAUUAAAAAAUUUGGCGGUAUUUUAGUCUAUUCAGAGGAACCUGUUUUAUAAAUGAUAUUCCACGAUUUAAUUUACUUUUAUUAUUAACUUACAUAUCGUCGUAGUUAAAUAUUUUUAAAGAAUUAAAAUAUUUGGGUCUUUUAUUAAAAAAAAUUUCAGAUCAAGGUGUWGUUUAUAUAAAAGAAAAAAUGGGUUACAAUAAAUUUAUUUUAGGAUUUAUAUUAUUAUAAGUGUUUUGAAUUUGGAUUUGAAAGUAAUUUUAAUAAAUUAAUUAAAAUGAUUUUAGCUCUAAAA
rnacentral:rRNA from 1 species